rnacentral:rRNA from 1 species
AUGUCCGUGAUCUGGGAGAAAGACGAGCAUGGGGUGGCCGUGGACGUCGGCAAGCACCUUGAAGACCCAGAGGCGGACUACCCGGCGGCGCCGUCGCCUCUUGCCACGCUGCGUGCUAGGUGUUCGGUCAAAUGCAAGGAGGCACCCGCAAAAAAAAUGCAAGGAGGCAGAGGAUGGUCUCGGAAAGCUCGACCAUGGCGGAAAGAAGGGGCACGGGCUGCUGCUAAUCGAGUCGAGCACGUAGGAGGCGCGCGUGAACAGCCUGCAGGUGGUUCAGUGGCAGCGCUGGUUGGCUGCCGGUGA